GAGGCGACUCGCAAAUUCUCGCGCCAUUCCGAGUCCGGCGGACGAAGUCGGCCAGCCCCACCCCCCAAGGCUAUAGCCCACCCGUUUUUGUGGCCUUUUUCCGCUGGACGAACUUGGCGCCCCGGCCUUCGGGAGGUUAUUUUUGGGUGCGGCUGUGCCCGCGCCCUAUUUUUGGCACACGGAGGCGCCUCGCGAAGUCUCGCGCCAUUCGGAGUACGGCGGACGAAGUAGGCUAGCCCCGCCCCCAAAGGCUAUAGCCCACCCGUUUUUGUGGCCUUUUUCCGUUGGACGAACUUGGCGCCCCGGCCUUCGGGCGGUUAUUUUUGGGCGCGACUGUGCCCAUUGCCUAUUUUUGGUACGUGGAAGUGCCUCACAAAGUCUCGCGCCAUUCCGAGUCCGGCGGACGAAGUUGGCCAGCCCCACCCCCCAAGGCUAUAGCCCACCCGUUUUUGUGGCCUUUUUCUGCUGGACGAACUUGGCGCCUUGGCCUUCGGCCGGUUAUUUUUGGGCGCGGCUGUGCCCGCGGUCUAGUUUUGGCAUAUGGAGGUGCCUCGCAAAGUCUCAUGCCACUCCGAGUCCGGCGGACGAAGUUGGCCAGCCCCACCCCCCAAGGCUAUAGCCCACCCGUUUUUGUGGCGUUUUUCCGCUGGACGAACAUGGCGCCCCGUCCUUCGGGGGGUUAUUUUUGGACGUGGCUGUGCCCGCGGACUAUUUUUGGCACACGGAGGUGCCUCACAAUGUCACGCGCCAUUCCGAG
rnacentral:lncRNA from 1 species